rnacentral:lncRNA from 1 species
GAUCAUCUAUCUCAAACUCAUACAUCACAUUCUCUUCUUUACAAAAAAGAGCAAACUGAAGUCCUCAGUGACAAGUACACCUUCCUUAAAACCUUUCUUGACGAUUUUACUAAUAUUUUCCAUGAAGAUAUAAAGAUGAAGCAUCUGGAAAGGAUGAUCCAAGAAGCUGCUAAUGGAGUGGAAGAUACUAUUGACUCACAUGUAUAUGAUAGCUCUGUCUUAGUACAAAGCAAGCGAGUACAAAGAAAGGCUGAUACAAUUUUUCAUCAAAACUUGGAAUAUGCAAUUGAGGAAAUUGGUUUGAUACAAAAAGAGGUUAUGAAAAAGAUAAAGGUCAACAAGUUCAACAGCAAAAUCUCUCAUUCAAGAGAUACUUCAUCUCAGAUCCCUAUGGAUCAAAAAGAUGUAAUCAUCGGACUAGAUGAAGACUUGCUAAAGAUAAAAGAUCGACUCAUCGUGCAAUCAUCAAGACUCGAAGUUGUCCCCAUUAUAGGGAUGGGUGGUAUAGGCAAGACCACACUGGCUAGAAGAGUUUAUGAUGAUUCCUUGAUUGCAUACCAUUUUUAUGUUCGAGCAUGGACAAAUGUAUCUCAAGAAUUUGACACUAGAGAAAUUUUUCUUGGUAUUCUUCGCUCCAUUGGCGUGGUCAAGGAUGAAGUAGAAAGAAACAGUACUAAUGAGCAAUUGGCUGAAAGAGUUUAUCGAAGUUUAAAAGGGAUGAAGUAUCUUAUUGUCCUAGAUGAUAUGUGGUCCAUCGAGGCUUGGAAGCAUGUGAGGAGAUCUUUUCCGGAUGAUCAUAAUGGAAGUCGAAUCUUGUUGACCACGAGGCUGGUAGAUGUUGCAUCUUGUGCUUGCUCUGGCAAUUCCCUUCACGAGAUGCGCUUUCUGAGUGUGGAGGAAAGCUGGAUUCUUUUACGCGAUAAGGUCUUUGGGAAUGGUAGUUACCCUCCGGAAUUGGAGAAAAUUGGGAGAUACAUUGUCCGUCAGUGUCAAGGGUUGCCACUUGCAGUUGUUGCAAUUGGUGGACUACUUUCCAAGAUGAGCAAGGAAACAAGUUCUUGGGAGAAAGUUGCAGAAAAGGUAGGAUCACUUAUGACAAGUGACACUAUGGAUUGCUUGAACAUACUUUCUUUGAGCUACAACCACUUGCCUCAGUACUUGAAAACAUGCUUCCUUUAUAUGGGAGUUUUUGCAGAAAGUCGUGAGAUCCCGGUCUGGAAGUUAAUAAAGUUAUGGAUUGCUGAGGGCUUCGUCAAGAAAGUUAAUCAUAAAAAAUCUAGAAGAUGUGGCAGAGGAAAAUUUGAGGGAGUUGGUUGAUAGAAGUUUGGUUUUGGUGGGGAGAGAUACCUCCCUGGGAAAAAUCAAGACUUGUAAGAUGCAUGAUCUCGUUCGAGAUAUGUGUUUGAGAGAAUCCCAAUAUGAGAAUUUUUUACACUUCAAAACGAGGUAUGACAAAGAUAAUCUUCUAGAAAACAUUAAUUGUCUACGUCGUAUAGUUGAUUUCAUUAAUUAUGGAUCCAGUGGAAUUUCUAUAUUUAUUCCACUCGCACGUUCUGUUUUCUUCAAACAUGAAUACAACUUUUGUUCCCCCGCACGAUUAAGGUUUAGAUUGCUUAGGAUAUUAGAUGUUUGUUUUCCAUGUUCUUUCUCCUGUAGUCAGUCCAUAUCAGAACUUGUUCAUUUGAGGUAUCUUGCUUGUCCGUCCUUCGGUGGCCUUGUGCAAUCAAUAUGCAAGCUUCGGAAUUUACAGAACUUAGUUAUUCAUGAUGUAAGCUUAUUUGCUUCACUUAUAACAACCCAGUCCCUAGCAUGGGAAGUUUUGAAUAUGCCUCAACUAAGACAUAUCCAUACAAAAAACUUUAGUCUCUUCAUACCCCGACCUACAUCCCUAAUUGCUGAGAGGGAGAAUCACUUACUAACAAUAACCGGAUUGAUUCCCUCAUCUUGUAAUGAUGAGGUGUUUCUAAGAAUUCCAAAUUUGAAGAAGUUGGGAAUUUUAAUUGAUGUUGCUUCAUACCCUAUUAGGAAUUGCCUUGAUAAUCUUGUACAUUUAACUCAGCUUGAGAAGCUCAAAGUUGUGGUCAGAGAGCCUUUUCUGCUAAUUUUUACGCCGAUUAUCGAAGGUUGGAUGGACAUUCCACAUUGUGACAAUUUCCCACCAAACCUUAAGAAGUUAACAUUGUGCAGAACAAACCUACAAUGGGAAGACAUGAACAUUCUCAGAAAAUUACCUAAUCUUGAGGUGCUCAAACUUAAAGAUUAUGCCUUUCGCGGACUAACUUGGAAACUAAGCGAUGUAGACGAAGAUGGAUUCUUGAAGCUAAAGUUUUUACUUCUUGAGAGCUUGCAUCUGAUGCAAUGGGAAGCAACAAGUUAUCAUUUUCCAAGCCUUGAGCACUUUGUCCUAACAAAUUGCCGGUACUUGGAAAAAAUUCCUUUCGACUUUGCGGAGAUUCAGACACUACAGCUGAUUGAACUACACGAAUGUAUGCGUUCUGUUCUUGUUUCAGCAGAGCAAAUACAAGAGGAGCAACAAAGCUUUGGAAAUGAUGACCUCAUUAUCCGUGCGAACUAUAUACUUGAGUAAACAUUAAUCAAAAAGGUAUACCCUUUUUUUAAAAGCAUAAAGAUUUUUGAUUAGUUAGAUUCCUUCGAAAUCUGAAAAUGAUUUUUAUAUUCAUCAUUUUCACUUAUUUAUACUAUAAAAGGUGCUAAUUACAAUUGGUUUGUGCAUUGCAGACGUAACGACUAGCUAAAUGGAAAGUACCAUAAGGUAUAUACACUCAAGCAAAUUUGCAGAAGUUCAUGUUAUUUCCUGUCUGUGUAUUUCGAUUUCCUUUUAUCAAAUUCUGGGAAGUAAGUUAGUGAAAUAGUCAUGUUUCAACUUGUUUGGGACUGAAACGUAGUUUAGUGAAUCUGACAUCUAUAUACAUUCAUCAAAAAGAAUGCAUUACCUUUGGAAUGUGUAUAUAGAAUAACUUCUCUUUUUAUUGAAAUUGAUUCUAUAAAUUAGUUCUCCUCAACAAAACCUUUUCGACCAUACCAAACACACCCUUAGUGAUUCUUUGUUUUGCUCGUCUUAACUCUUAUCUAUACUUUUAACAUUUUUUUGUCUUUUACUUGCUUCUUUUGUUUACAAUAAUGUUUUAUCAUUUUCAAUAUGUUGACUUUUAGUCAAUUUUAUUUUUUCUUAAUUCAAAACAAUAUAAUAAAAGAGACGUUGAAAAAUUCCAAAUAUGUGAAAAAUCUUCUCUUUAUUUUGCUUUGCUCUUUCGAUCUUAAUUUAUAUAACAUAUUUCGCUUUUUAGUAUGUCUCAAAACAAAUUACUACAUUUUCUAAUUUGAAUAUAUAUUAAAAUUGUGGAUAUCAUAUUUUAGUUAUGAUGUUAUACUUUAGUUAAAGAAUUUUUCUUUUUUAAUUGUUCGCUUUAGCAAAUCAAGAUCAUAAAAUUAUUAAUUGAUUUUUUAAUAAUUGUAGCGUCUAAGUCCGUUUGUAUGCGCCAACUAAUUCUAUGAUAUACUAUAUCUAUUAUUCCUCACCAACCAUGCAUAAAGUAACUUUGUUAUCAAAGCUUGAACUGAUAAGAAGAAAUCAUCACGCGCGUGUUCUUAGUUAGCUAUAUCUAGAAUUUGAAUUUAAAAUCCCAUAAUUUUCAACACAUGACUUCAUUGACCAUCUUUCAAAAAUAACAUAAGAUCUACAUUUAUUCUAUCUUUUCUGAUCUGGUAAAUGAAAUUAUACUGAAUACGUUAUUGUGGUUGUUAUAUUGUCUUUGUGUAUCUAAAGAGAUAUGGAUGUGAGUGGGAACAUCCCAUGUGCAUAUACUCAAGAAAAGGAGAUUGAAAACAAUGUGUAUGAAUUGUGCCUUGGUACAGAAAAAAUAUGGAAUGGUCCCUCAUAACGAUAAUGAGUGAAAAAUGUGAGUUAUAUUAUUUUAGAAAAAUAAAAUAGGAAUCUUUUAGGUGUUGAAUUACAAUUGGUUCUUGUCUAUCUUUUUCGUCUUUUCCUUUUUUAAAGUAGAAUAUAAAAAAAAUAAUACUAAAAAUAGAAAGUUAAUUACCAAAAAGAGAAAUACCAAAAUAAACAUACAAAUUAAUUCUAGAUUAAGAAAAUUAAAAUACCAUAAUACUAAACUUAUUUAUUGAAACCUAAUUUGAAAAGGAUGAAAAUUAUUCUUUCUUUUGAAAAUGAAAUAAAAUUGAUAUUCUAAAAUAUGAUUCUAUUUUUGUAAUUUUUCAAUUUCAACAAAUAAAACUUAUCAAACUAAAACAAAGAUUAAAAAAAAAAACAACAACAUAGCAGUGAAUUUCCAAAAGUGGGUAUAAGAAGGGUAGGAUAUAAGAAGUGUACUGUAACCAACGUAGAAUUGAAAGGAAAAUAACGUCAAGAAAUAUCAAGAUACAUAAAGUAAAUGAAACAACAUGCAAUGGUGAAAAGUAAAGAAUAAGAUAGUAUGCGACUAUGUCUACUAAUCAACAUUUACUAAAUAAAGAGAAGACGAGAAGAGGAAGUUAAUCCCCCGCUUCUCCCACAAAGAAAUAUGACAACAAUAAUCGACUAUUUACUAUUCUUGUACUAUAAUCUUCGAUCUUCAUAUCUUCUUAUUUAGGUCAUGUAUUUCGAAGAUGUUUCAUGUCAUAUCUAAAUUAUCUCUUCUCAAUUCCUCUUCGUCUUAUUUGUACCUCUCAUAAAAUCGGUUACAAAUCAAUCUCUUCACACCUUCUUAUUUGUACACUCAUUCCUGCAUCUCUCCAUAUAUGUUCGAACUAUUUCUAUCUCGUUUUCCUCAUCUUAAUCCUUACUAAAAAAUGUUAAUCAGAUUCCAAUGUGGAUAUCAAAUAUCGAACACCGAAUAAAGAUGAAAAACAAGAAAAAAAUCCAAAGAUGCUGUUUUUAUUCCUGCCACAUAGAUUAUUGGGUCAGCCAUAAAAAUAUCUUCGUUAGCUGGCUGAUGACGUGGACUUCCUCUGGUGGCAGGUUUAGGUCUCUAGAUAUUUUCACCUCAAAAUAUCCUUCAACCACGUGUCGACCAAACUUUCAUUUUUGCCAUCCAAACACCUAUAAACUACCGAAAUGCCAUUGACUAUCAAUACUAGUUUGUAUUUUUUAUUUCUAAAUUCUAAUACUAUACUAUUAGUUCUUACUAUUUUUUGAAAAGUUACACUUUUAAGAUCCACUUUUUUUUAUAUAUUGAUAGCGUUAUUAAAUAUUUAUGAAAUAAAAAAAAAAUUAUUACUCUUUUUUGAAUUAAUUAAAAGGAAAAAGGUAUUGUAUAUAUUAAAAUAGAGCGAAUAUUAUUUUAUCAUGAUUAUUAUUUACAAAAUAUAGUAAGUAAUUGUUCGAUUUUGGAUUCAAAUACCUUCUUUUAUUUCUUUAGUAUGUUUUCCAUUGAUUACUACUUACUUAGUAUAAGUCGCUAGAAGGUGACACGGCUUGAACAACAUGUCUACUUCAGAAGCCAGGGAUAAUUUUAUCUUUCUUCGUGCAAUUACACAUGGCAUUGAUUGAUAAAAAUAUGAAAGACUAGAUUUACCCUUACUCCUCUAUUUUUUUUUUGGCAAUUAACAAAUUUUAUUAAUUACCAUAACCAUGAGAAAUUAUUUUAGAUUUAACCCUUGUCAAAGACAAAAUCCAUCAAAACAAUGUCACAACUAUCAACUAAAUGUGAUAUCUAAUGUGAAUUGUAAAAUUUUUGAACCAUCGAGUCUUUAAUUGCAUAUUACGCUUGAAGCUAUUAGGUCAAUGACAUAUAUUUGUCUGAAUGCCACGCAUUAUAUUGCAUCGCCGCUAAAAUGCUUAAAGAAACUAUCAACUAAAUAUAGACAUAGCAACAACUAUAGCCUUUAAUAUGCAUUUUUGUGCACUCUUAAUUUUCAUAUCAUUAAAUCCAAAAUAUAUACCUAAAACGAGGAAUCAAUUAUACAUAGUACUAGAACUAGAAUACUUAUUCUUAGGGCCACUUAAAUAUAUUUUUAAGUAGCUAGAACAGCUAAUUAACCACUAUUAUAAUGCUAUGUUCCUUAAUCCUAGUAUAUAAUUCAACUUUAAAUAUAAUCAGUAGGUCAAGUGUGAUAAUGACAUCCAUAAUUAUCGUUUAUCACACUCCAAUUUAAUAAUAAAAUAAUAAAUUAACAUUGAAGCAUAACUAUGGCCUAUGGGUUCUCAAUACAUGAAUAUUCUCUCAAACAGGUAUAUAAUUUUUUUAUAAAUAGUUCUACUUUAAAGCAUAGUUACAAAACGUAAAUAUAAUUUAACAUAACUAUAAUUAUUGUAUCAGGUAAAAGAAUUGUAUCAUGCAGAUAUCAAUUAUAUCGACAACUAAUUAUAUUCAAACAACAAGUAUCAUCCGUAUCAGACGGAUAUCAACGCAUACUAUAUCAAUUGAUAAGUUCAAUCUUUAUGUUUCUAUCAACAGAAUUCAUUAUACUUUUAAAAUUACGAAUUCAAAUAUUUUAAUAUUAAAACACACACGUCUAUGCAUGAUAUCAGAAAUACUAGGUUCGUAUUAAUCCAAUUCUUACAUCACCCCCCCCCCCACACACACACACAAUAAAAAUAUCUUACUUUCGGUGUGAACUAUGAAUUAAAUUUCAAAAAAUAACAAUUCUAAAAAAGAUUAUUUAAUUUUGUAAACAAUAAUAGUUUCAAAUUCCAUAGCAGAAACUCCAGUACAUUGUCAUGGAGUAAAACUUGUAAAAACAACAACAUAUCUAGUGUAAUCUCACAAGUGAAGACUAGGGUGAUAGGAUGUGAACAAACCUUAUCCUUACCUUUGUGGUGUAGAGAGAUGUUGUUUCCGAUAGACCCUCGACUCAACAAUAAAGAAAAGAAUUUGAAGCAUGGUAGCAAGAAAAUAUGACAGCAAAACAGCAAGAUACAAAUCAAAUGAAGCAACAAAGUGCAACAAUACUCGGCUACCUACUAACUUUCUAAUCUAAUCCUCAACUUUCACUCCUUCCUAUCUAGGGUCAUAUCCGGAGUAAAACUUGUAGAUUUUGAAAUUACCUGACUAUAGUUAUAUUUCGAAGAUAUGUCCGAAAAGUGGCUCUCUAGUAUGAAUGUAGUUUGGGCAAGUUGUAUGACUUUGGGUCUCUGAAACUAUUCCAACUUGCUUUUUGGUACAAGUCUUAAAUACAAUUUGGGUCUCAAUCUGACAAAUAAUUCAAUGAGCAAAACAAGAAUUCUCACUUCUACCCUUCCACCAACCCUACCAUUACUCUAUUGGAGAGAAGCAGUCACAAAGAGAAGACUUCUCUUUACAAACCCUUAAAAGUCUUGCAUUCCCAUCCAUUACACUGCCUUCUUCUUUCAUAAAGAAUUGGUUUUGAGAAUCUAAAUCAACAACUCAGAACUUCCUCCUACUGUCCUGUUUAGCAAGAAACUAACAAACAGCGAUAUGGCGGCGUAUGCUGCUGUGACUUCACUUUUGCAUACCCUGGACAGUCUAUCUCAAACUGAUAUUCUUUACAAAAAAAAGCAAACUGAAGUCCUCAGUGACAAGUACACCUUCCUUAAAACCUUUCUUGAGGAUUUUACUAAUAUUUUCCAUGAAGAUGUAAAGAUGAAGCAUCUCGAAAGGAUAAUCCAAGAAGCUGCUAAUGGAGUGGAAGAUACUAUUGACUCACAUGUAUAUGAUAGACAUGUUUUAGUACAA